GAUGAACGCUGGCGGCGUGCCUAAUACAUGCCAGUCGAGCGAACAGAUAAGGAGCUUGCUCCUUUGACGUUAGCGGCGGACGGGUGAGUAACACGUGGAUAACCUACCUAUAAGACUGGGAUAACUUCGGGAAACCGGAGCUAAUACCGGAUAACAUAUUGAACCGCAUGGUUCAAUAGUGAAAGGCGGCUUUGCUGUCACUUAUAGAUGGAUCCGCGCCGUAUUAGCUAGUUGGUAAGGUAACGGCUUACCAAGGCAACGAUACGUAGCCGACCUGAGAGGGUGGUCGGCCACACUGGAACUGAGACACGGUCCAGACUCCUACGGGAGGCAGCAGUAGGGAAUCUUCCGCAAUGGGCGAAAGCCUGACGGAGCAACGCCGCGUGAGUGAUGAAGGUCUUCGGAUCGUAAAACUCUGUUAUCAGGGAAGAACAAAUGUGUAAGUAACUGUGCACAUCUUGACGGUACCUGAUCAGAAAGCCACGGCUAACUACGUG
rnacentral:rRNA from 1 species